GACAGAGGGGGCAAGCGUUGCUCGGAAUUACUGGGCGUAAAGGGCGCGUAGGCGGCCACCGCAAGUCGGUUGUGAAAUCUCCGGGCUUAACCCGGAAAGGUCAACCGAUACUGCGGGGCUAGAGUGCAGAAGGGGCAACUGGAAUUCUCGGUGUAGCGGUGAAAUGCGUAGAUAUCGAGAGGAACACCUGCGGCGAAGGCGGGUUGCUGGGCUGACACUGACGCUGAGGCGCGAAAGCUAGGGGAGCGAACGGG
rnacentral:rRNA from 1 species